rnacentral:rRNA from 1 species
GAUCAUGGCUCAGGAUGAACGCUAGCUACAGGCUUAACACAUGCAAGUCGAGGGGCAGCAUGAACUUAGCUUGCUAAGUUUGAUGGCGACCGGCGCACGGGUGAGUAACACGUAUCCAACCUGCCGAUGACUCGGGGAUAGCCUUUCGAAAGAAAGAUAUACCGAUGGCAUAGUUCUUCCGCAUGGUAGAAACUUAUUAAAGAAUUUCGGUCAUCGAUGGGGAUGCGUUCCAUUUAGG